rnacentral:lncRNA from 1 species
ACCCAAGCUGGAUUGAUGAAGGGAAGGAGGAGGACGCCAUGGAAGGAAGGUAGUAGAUGUGUUUAGGAAGAAUCUGCUCUGAUUACCAUGUGAGAAUUUGAUGGAAUGUGGACCGCUUAUCUCAGCACAUCCGCGGCUUCGUGUUAUAUAGAGGCAAAUGCCUACAGGAUGUACAUGAGAGUUUGUUUGGAUUACAACUUGAUCUUCAAGUAAACAAUCUAUUCUAUUCUAUCUUCAAGGUCAAUGCUGCAUUGAAC